rnacentral:rRNA from 1 species
ACUCAAAUGAAUAGACGGGGGCCCGCACAAGCAGCGGAGCAUGUGGUUUAAUUCGACGCAACGCGAAGAACCUUACCUGGGCUUGACAUGUCAGUGACCGCCGUGGAAACACGGUUUUCCUUCGGGACACUGUCACAGGUGGUGCAUGGCUGUCGUCAGCUCGUGUCGUGAGAUGUUGGGUUAAGUCCCGCAACGAGCGCAACCCCCGUCCUAUGUUGCCAUCAUUAAGUUGGGGACUCAUAGGAGACUGCCGGUGACAAACCGGAGGAAGGUGGGGAUGACGUCAAGUCAUCAUGCCCCUUAUGUCCAGGGCUACACACGUGCUACAUUGGCGCAUACAAAGGGCAGCAAUACCGCGAGGUGGAGCGAAUCCCAUAAAGUGCGCCUCGGUUCGGAUUGGAGGCUGAAACUCGCCUCCAUGAAGGUGGAGUUGCUAGUAAUCGCAGAUCAGCAAUGCUGCGGUGAAUACGUUCCCGGGCCUUGCACACACCGCCCGU